GGGGGGGGGGGGGGGGGGGGGGGGCGGGGGGGGGGGGGGGGGGGGGGGGGGGCGGGGGUGGGGGGGGGGGGUGGCGGGGGGGUGAGUAGCACGUGAGUGGCCUGGCGUUGAGUUUGGGAGAGCCUCAGGAAAGUGGGGCUAAUACCGCAUAGGAGCUGCGGCUGCUUGGUGGGGGUUGGACCGUUUCGGCGGUUGGGGAGGGACUCGCGGCUUAUCAGCUGGUGGGUGGGGGAGUGGGUUUCAAAGGCUUUGACGGGUAGCCGGCCUGAGAGGGUGACCUGACACAUUGGGACGGAGAUACGGCCCAGACUCCUACGUGUGCCAGCAGUGGGGAAUAUUGCACAAUGGGCGGAAGCCUGAUGCAGCAACGACGCGUGCGGUAUGACGGCCUUCGGGUUGUAAACCGCUUGCGCCUGUGACGAAGCGUGAGUGGCGGUAAUGGGUAAAGAAGCACCGGCUAACUACGUG
rnacentral:rRNA from 1 species